AAUCUGUGUUCCAUUAAACGUGCUGGUGAUAGGUGCUUGUAAAAAAUAGGUGCGGUUUUUAGGGCGAAGGACAUUUGUCCCAGUUUGGAGGAAAUGUUACUCCACACUUUCAUUCAAGACGCGCUGCCUUGCAAUCUGUUCCUAGCUCAUAAAGGCAGGUCUUAAGAUGUACUACACCGCGCAACUCAUAUAAAUAGUAUCUACUCAGGACCUGCUGGCGGUCUAUUUCGCCAACAAGGCCUACAAAGUCUUGUGCAAACUUCGAAUGGCAACGCUUCAGGAUGGGAGAUCUGAGCAGUGCCGCCGUUCCUUUGAGAUGGCUCUGGAGCCAACAGUCGAUGUCAGAAUGCCCUACUUGGAAGGGUCAUUCUGAUACUGAAUCAACGCGACCCACGUCUCUAUAGGGAGGGUUUAAGUCUUCUCAAUGCGGCCUAUAAGCUUGAUGAACCCCAUCCAGUAGUUUUAAGUAUUCUUGCGACCUGCCACUAUUUCAUUGGAGAUCUGGUGAUCUGGUCUUUAAUCUGGCUCAAAUUCGCAUUGGCUUCAUCGAAAUUGCGCAGCUGCAACCGCAUAGUUGCUGUAAGGUGGCCAGAGUCACCAUGCAAGUGAGGAAUUCGACUUCGCCAGGACAUACUAUCAGGAUUCGGUAAGUUUCGCACUUGAAAGCUUCCACGAGGCUAAAGAGACGAAAAUUCGGCGGCUAUGAAGUUGUAGUGCCCUACAAGUCCAUUAUCGCCGAAUAUCUGAGCUAUUAUGACUGCCUGAUAUCCAGCUCACAGACAACAAUAACAUUGCAGCCAGGACCUAUUUGGGAAGCUGAAGCUUACCAAAAAGUCCUUCUCUAUCUUCGAUGUGAUCCUGGGUAGCUCGGGAAGUACGCCCAGAUGGCUUCAUCUAAGAACAAGACAGAAAAGCGCGACAUCAGGAAAAUGCCUUGAAC